rnacentral:lncRNA from 1 species
UAGAUUUGACUUAGGAGAAAACUAUAGGUUCUACACUGUCAUUUUCUAAAAAAAACUAACAGAUUUAGAUUUAGAAGCUGUAGUUAGUUUGUAUCGCCGCAAUUUGUACGCGGUGGAUACACAGAAUAUUGUAGAAUGAAAUUACGCUCGUGCUGGGAUGCUGAGUUUAUUUUUACAGUAGUGUAUAGACUGUUCCGGACUGUCGGUUGCCGUCGCUGUUGACAGUGGACCCAGAUUUCUGUAUUUUGCAUCAGAUUGUGCCGAGGGCAUGUUUAUUAUUGUUGUUAAA